rnacentral:rRNA from 1 species
AACGAACGCUGGCGGCAUGCCUAACACAUGCAAGUCGAACGAGACCUUCGGGUCUAGUGGCGCACGGGUGCGUAACGCGUGGGAACCUGCCCUUAGGUUCGGAAUAACUCCCCGAAAGGGGUGCUAAUACCGGAUAAUGUCUUCGGACCAAAGAUUUAUCGACUUUGGAUGGGCCCGCGUUGGAUUAGCUAGUGGGUAGGGUAAAAGCCUACCAAGGCGACGAUCCAUAGCUGGUCUGAGAGGAUGGUCAGCCACACUGGGACUGAGACACGGCCCAGAAUCGUAGGGGAGGCAGCAAAGGGGAAUAUUGGAAAAUGGGGGGAAGCCUGAACCAGCAAGGCCGGGUGAGUGAUGAAGGCCUGAGAGUUGUAAAGCUCUUUUACCCGGGAUGAUAAUGACAGUACCGGGAGAAUAAGCACCGGCUAACUCCGUG